rnacentral:rRNA from 1 species
UACGGGGGGGGCAAGCGUUGUUCGGAAUCACUGGGCGUAAAGGGCGCGUAGGCGGCUUUAUAAGUCGGGGGUGAAAGCCUGUGGCUCAACCACAGAAUUGCCUUCGAUACUGAGAGUCUUGAGUCCGGGAGAGGUGAGUGGAACUGCGAGUGUAGAGGUGAAAUUCGUAGAUAUUCGCAAGAACACCAGUGGCGAAGGCGGCUCACUGGCCCGGUACUGACGCUGAGGUGCGAAAGCGUGGGGAGCAAACAGG